rnacentral:rRNA from 1 species
UACGGGGGGUGCGAGCGUUGUCCGGAAUCACUGGGCGUAAAGGGCGCGUAGGUGGCCUGAUAGGGUGUGGUGAAAGUCCGGGGCUCAACCCCGGAUCGGCCGUGCCGACUGUUAGGCUAGAGUACUGUAGGGGCAGGCGGAAUUCCGGGUGUAGCGGUGGAAUGCGUAGAGAUCCGGGAGGAACGACGGUGCGAAGGCGGCCUGCUGGGCGAGUUACUGACACUGAGGCGCGACAGCGUGGGGAGCAAACAGG